CGGACGGGUGAGUAACACGUGAGCAACCUGCCUUCGAGAGGGGAAUAACGGCUGGAAACGGUCGCUAAUACCGCAUAACAUACCGGGAGGACAUCCUGCUGGUAUCAAAGAUUUUAUCGCUCGAAGAUGGGCUCGCGUCCGAUUAGGUAGUUGGUGAGGUAACGGCUCACCAAGCCGACGAUCGGUAGCCGGACUGAGAGGUUGAACGGCCACAUUGGGACUGAGACACGGCCCAGACUCCUACGGGAGGCAGCAG
rnacentral:rRNA from 1 species